UUCUAGUGUGAGUGGAACCCCUGUUGGGGUCUGCAUCUAGGUGGAUGAAGCAACCAAACAAGAACACAGGGGACACAAACAAGGGCAGAGAGGCCUCUGGGCACCAU
ensembl:snoRNA